CCUUGAAACAAACGCUAGCGGCGUGCCUAACACAUGCAAGUCAAACGAGAAAAUUCGCUUCGGCGAAUGAGUAGAGUGGCGCACGGGUGAGUAACGCGUGGACAAUCUGCCCUAGAGUUAGGAAUAACCCACCGAAAGGUGGGCUAAUACCCAAUAAUGCUGUACUUCUUCGGGAGUAUAGCCAAAGAUGGCCUCUGUUUACAAGCUAUCGCUCAAGGAUGAGUUCGCGUACCAUUAGCUUGUUGGUGGGGUAAAGGCCUACCAAGGCGACGAUGGUUAGCUGGUCUGAGAGGACGGCCAGCCGCACUGGAACUGAGACACGGUCCAGACUCCUACGGGAGGCAGCAGUGAGGAAUCUUGCGCAAUGGGGGAAACCCUGACGCAGUAACGCCGCGUGAGUGAGGAAGGKYYUUCGGAUCGUAAAGCUCUGUCAGGUGGGAARRAAUGUAUGAAGGCCAAUACCCUUCAUAUUUGACGGUACCACCAGAGGAAGCACCGGCAAACUCCGUGCCAGCAGCCGCGGUAAUACGGGGGGUGCAAGCGUUGUUCGGAAUUAUUGGGCGUAAAGAGCGUGUAGGCGGUUGAGUAAGUCAGAUGUGAAAGCCCUGGGCUUAACUCAGGAAGUGCAUUUGAAACUGCUUAACUAGAGUAAGAGAGAGGAAAGUGGAAUUCCUGGUGUAGAGGUGAAAUUCGUAGAUAUCAGGAGGAACACCGGUGGCGAAGGCGGCUUUCUGGCUCUAUACUGACGCUGAGACGCGAAAGCGUGGGUAGCAAACAGGAUUAGAUACCCUGGUAGUCCACGCCGUAAACGAUGUUCACUAGGUGUUGGGGGCAUUGACCC
rnacentral:rRNA from 1 species